rnacentral:rRNA from 1 species
AGCGUACACGGUGGAUGCCCUGGCAGUCAGAGGCGAUGAAGGACGUGCUAAUCUGCGAUAAGCGUCGGUGAGGUGAUAUGAACCGUUAUAACCGGCGAUUUCCGAAUGGGGAAACCCAGUGUGUUUCGACACACUAUCAUUAACUGAAUCCAUAGGUUAAUGAGGCGAACCGGGGGAACUGAAACAUCUAAGUACCCCGAGGAAAAGAAAUCAACCGAGAUUCCCCCAGUAGCGGCGAGCGAACGGGGAGGAGCCCAGAGCCUGAAUCAGUGUGUGUGUUAGUGGAAGCGUCUGGAAAGGCGCGCGAUACAGGGUGACAGCCCCGUACACAAAAAUGCACAUAUUGUGAGCUCGAUGAGUAGGGCGGGACACGUGGUAUCCUGUCUGAAUAUGGGGGGACCAUCCUCCAAGGCUAAAUACUCCUGACUGACCGAUAGUGAACCAGUACCGUGAGGGAAAGGCGAAAAGAACCCCGGCGAGGGGAGUGAAAAAGAACCUGAAACCGUGUACGUACAAGCAGUGGGAGCCUCUUAAUGGGGUGACUGCGUACCUUUUGUAUAAUGGGUCAGCGACUUAUAUUCUGUAGCAAGGUUAACCGAAUAGGGGAGCCGAAGGGAAACCGAGUCUUAACUGGGCGUUAAGUUGCAGGGUAUAGACCCGAAACCCGGUGAUCUAGCCAUGGGCAGGUUGAAGGUUGGGUAACACUAACUGGAGGACCGAACCGACUAAUGUUGAAAAAUUAGCGGAUGACUUGUGGCUGGGGGUGAAAGGCCAAUCAAACCGGGAGAUAGCUGGUUCUCCCCGAAAGCUAUUUAGGUAGCGCCUCGUGAAUUCAUCUCCGGGGGUAGAGCACUGUUUCGGCAAGGGGGUCAUCCCGACUUACCAACCCGAUGCAAACUGCGAAUACCGGAGAAUGUUAUCACGGGAGACACACGGCGGGUGCUAACGUCCGUCGUGAAGAGGGAAACAACCCAGACCGCCAGCUAAGGUCCCAAAGUCAUGGUUAAGUGGGAAACGAUGUGGGAAGGCCCAGACAGCCAGGAUGUUGGCUUAGAAGCAGCCAUCAUUUAAAGAAAGCGUAAUAGCUCACUGGUCGAGUCGGCCUGCGCGGAAGAUGUAACGGGGCUAAACCAUGCACCGAAGCUGCGGCAGCGACGCUUAUGCGUUGUUGGGUAGGGGAGCGUUCUGUAAGCCUGUGAAGGUGGCCUGUGAGGGUUGCUGGAGGUAUCAGAAGUGCGAAUGCUGACAUAAGUAACGAUAAAGCGGGUGAAAAGCCCGCUCGCCGGAAGACCAAGGGUUCCUGUCCAACGUUAAUCGGGGCAGGGUGAGUCGACCCCUAAGGCGAGGCCGAAAGGCGUAGUCGAUGGGAAACAGGUUAAUAUUCCUGUACUUGGUGUUACUGCGAAGGGGGGACGGAGAAGGCUAUGUUGGCCGGGCGACGGUUGUCCCGGUUUAAGCGUGUAGGCUGGUUUUCCAGGCAAAUCCGGAAAACCAAGGCUGAGGCGUGAUGACGAGGCACUACGGUGCUGAAGCGACAAAUGCCCUGCUUCCAGGAAAAGCCUCUAAGCAUCAGGUAACAUCAAAUCGUACCCCAAACCGACACAGGUGGUCAGGUAGAGAAUACCAAGGCGCUUGAGAGAACUCGGGUGAAGGAACUAGGCAAAAUGGUGCCGUAACUUCGGGAGAAGGCACGCUGAUAUGUAGGUGAAGCGACUUGCUCGUGGAGCUGAAAUCAGUCGAAGAUACCAGCUGGCUGCAACUGUUUAUUAAAAACACAGCACUGUGCAAACACGAAAGUGGACGUAUACGGUGUGACGCCUGCCCGGUGCCGGAAGGUUAAUUGAUGGGGUUAGCGGUAACGCGAAGCUCUUGAUCGAAGCCCCGGUAAACGGCGGCCGUAACUAUAACGGUCCUAAGGUAGCGAAAUUCCUUGUCGGGUAAGUUCCGACCUGCACGAAUGGCGUAAUGAUGGCCAGGCUGUCUCCACCCGAGACUCAGUGAAAUUGAACUCGCUGUGAAGAUGCAGUGUACCCGCGGCAAGACGGAAAGACCCCGUGAACCUUUACUAUAGCUUGACACUGAACAUUGAGCCUUGAUGUGUAGGAUAGGUGGGAGGCUUUGAAGUGUGGACGCCAGUCUGCAUGGAGCCGACCUUGAAAUACCACCCUUUAAUGUUUGAUGUUCUAACGUUGGCCCGUAAUCCGGGUUGCGGACAGUGUCUGGUGGGUAGUUUGACUGGGGCGGUCUCCUCCUAAAGAGUAACGGAGGAGCACGAAGGUUGGCUAAUCCUGGUCGGACAUCAGGAGGUUAGUGCAAUGGCAUAAGCCAGCUUGACUGCGAGCGUGACGGCGCGAGCAGGUGCGAAAGCAGGUCAUAGUGAUCCGGUGGUUCUGAAUGGAAGGGCCAUCGCUCAACGGAUAAAAGGUACUCCGGGGAUAACAGGCUGAUACCGCCCAAGAGUUCAUAUCGACGGCGGUGUUUGGCACCUCGAUGUCGGCUCAUCACAUCCUGGGGCUGAAGUAGGUCCCAAGGGUAUGGCUGUUCGCCAUUUAAAGUGGUACGCGAGCUGGGUUUAGAACGUCGUGAGACAGUUCGGUCCCUAUCUGCCGUGGGCGCUGGAGAACUGAGGGGGGCUGCUCCUAGUACGAGAGGACCGGAGUGGACGCAUCACUGGUGUUCGGGUUGUCAUGCCAAUGGCACUGCCCGGUAGCUAAAUGCGGAAGAGAUAAGUGCUGAAAGCAUCUAAGCACGAAACUUGCCCCGAGAUGAGUUCU